UGGUUCGUAGCUCAGAGGAAGAGCAUCUAGCUUUUAACUAGAGGGUCGGGAUUUCGAAACUCCUCGAACCAA
rfam:Monosiga brevicollis mitochondrion, complete genome.